CACUCCCUCAUCCCUCUCUAUCUAAACUAAAUUAGGGUUCAGUUAGCUUUACAACCAUUGAAGCAGCAGUGCCGGGGUUGAGAGCAGCUUUACAAUCACUCACUAUUUCCCUUCUCCUCUAUGACUCUUCUUUUCUGAGAAAAUUCCAUAACAAAAAGCUACUCAGAGAAUUUUUAAGAUAAUAUAAAAUUUUCAAGAUUUCAAGAAAGCUAAUUUCUUGCAAGUUUCAGUCAUAGAGACACGACAUUUCCAGUAAAUUCCUCCCCUCCCCAUUGAAGUUGCAGGACGGUUCGAGGCACGCCAUUGGAUAAAAUAUCAUUUGUGUCAGGUGGCAAGGCAGGAUCUACCAGUUCCAGAUUGGUUUUAAGUCUCUUCAAAUAAGAGGUGGUUAGUAAAGAAAAUCAAUGGCAUCAAAAGGUAAUGUUAAUGGACGACGUAAAAAAUGUAAGAAAGGGCCUAAUAAUCUUCCUGCGGGUCAAUAUUCAAUGUACACCACCACCACCACUUGUUACCAUAACUCUUCAACCAACUACUACAAAUCUUACGUCUCCCCCUAAAUCAACUAUUUCACUAUCAAAUACAUUUUUCAUGCUCCGACCGUCUGACCAGUUUCACACCCCUUCUUCCCAAAAUAGUCUGCAUAGUAGCUUUUCAUCUAUGCCUUCGACGUCAUCCACACCAAACCUUUUUGGAUUGAGAAUUGGAUGUCCUUGUUGACACCUAAUUUUUUCCCUCCACGAUUAAAUUUAAUUCUAAGUUUCUUUGAUUUUUAAUAAAAUUAAAAUAUUUAUUUCAUCCGAAUAAAAAUUUAUUAAAUAUAUUUGUACGUAAUUUUGUCAUUUUAAGUAGUGAUUAUAAUUUAUCGUAUUCAAUUAUAGAAGAUUUUAUAAUUUUGUUACUUAAAUAUUUAUUUUUUAAAAUGUCGGAUUUUAAUCAAGGCUUAUAGAUUCAAAUGAUUAAAGUUUUGAUUUAAAUAUAAUUUACUCUCAAAAAAUAAUUUAUUCGUAUAAAUAUGUGAUUGAUUUUAUAAAAUCAAGAAGCCCGGGAUUAAAGGAAGAAUUAAUUCGCAUCGAAUUUCAAUUUAAUUUAGUCAAUCUAUUAGAUUUGGCCAUAAUUGAAAUCAAAUUGGCCAUAAUUGUAAUGCAAUCCGUCAAUUGAUUUGUAAUUUGGUCAAAAUUAAAUAAAUAUAGCUAAAUUUUAAAUCCACCCCAAAAUUCCCAAAAACUCUCAUAAUUUCUACCUAAUUUCACAACAAAAAUAAUUUCAAAUUAUACUACAUUGUACUAUUUCCCCCCAACUGUCUUUUUCCAAUUUUAAAAUUCAAAAGUUGUACUAUAUUGUACAAUUUUCCCCCACAUUAUCUUCCAUCUCACCUUAUCUUCAAUUUUAAAAUUUCAAAAACACCCUUAUUUGUUUUUUCUCCCACAUUGGUGGAGGACAAGAAAUAAAUCCCCAUCCUUUCCUAUAAAUACUUUUCUCCCACAUUGGUGGAAAAAAAAAAUCUCAUUCUCUCCUAUAAAUACUACCACUACUUUGGUAAAAAAGUAAGGAAAAAAAAAGGCUAGAAAGGUGAAAAAUCCUUUUUGAGAAAAAUAGUUAUUUUUAUUUAGUAAAAAUUUUUGUUUCAUAGAGUUGGUCGGCUAAUAAAAAAUUUCAAGUUGCCUGCGACAUUUUUUCGGUGGUGGUUGAUUCCGACGAAGCUCGUAGUCUCGUUUUUCUACCCCCAAAAAGGUAAACACAUUUUUUUUUAGUUUUUAUUAUCGUUUUCUUCUUCAUCUUUUUUCUUCUUCAUAGUUCGUAGAUAUUAUUUUGUUUGCUGGAAUUUUAUGUUGUAGAUGGCCUUAAAAGGCCCUAGGACGUUGUGGUAUCGAUAUUCUAAUUAUUUUCAUGUUCAUGAUAUAAAAAUGAGCUAACAAUAGUUGUAUGUGUUUUUUUUUUUUUUUUUUACUUUAUUCUUUGAUUAUUUUGGAUAAAGUUUCAAUCUUUGCUUAAAAUAUGUAUUUAUGCUUUGUUUAAACUCAUGGUUGUUGGAUAUAUUUGAUUUUAGCAUGUAAAGUUAUUUUCUUUAUGUUGAAAAGAAUAGUUAAUGUUGAAUGUUUCGCCUUUUCUCCUAAUUCUUUGAUUAUUUUGGAUAAAGUUUAGAUCUUUGCUUGAAAAACAUAAUCAUGUCUUGUUUAAACUCAUUAUUGUUGAAUAUGUUUAUUUUUAGCAUGUAAAGUUAUUUUCUUUAUGUUGAAAAGAAUAGUUAAUAUUGGUUGUUUUGCCUUUUGACCUUAUUCUUUGAUUAUUUUGGAUAAAAUUUAGAUCUUUUUACUUGAAAAGUCAUACCCAUGUCUUGUUUAAACUCAUUGUUGGUAGAUAUUUUGUUUUUAGCAUGUAAAGUUAUUUUCUUUAUGUUGAAAAGAAUGGUUAAUAUUGAUUGUUUUGCCUUUUGACUUUAUUCUUUGAUUGUCAUAUAUAAAGUUUUGAUCUUUGCUCAAAAGACAAACUCAUGUCUUGUUUAAAUUUAUUGUUGGCGGAUAUGUUUGUUUUAGCUGUAAAGUUAUUUCUUUUAUUUUGAAAAAAUAGUUACUAUUGCUUGUUUCGCCUUAAUAAAAAUAGUAAUUGAUUAAAUCAAGAAUUUUUCAUUUACUUGUUAAUUAUUUUAAGGGAUCUCCAAAAUCUUCAUAUAAGAGAUGAAGUGCUAGCUUUAUUUUUCAUCCACGAUGUUUAUUCCUCUUUUUCGCAUGUUUUCAAAUUUGUCAAAAUGAUGAGAAAGUUUGAAUUUUUGUGGCUAAAUAGAAUUAUUUAGAUAUUUUUGAGUCAUGCAUUUUAUGAUUGUGAAACAAUAUUUCACUUUUAGAAAUGCUAAACUUUAUUCUAAUUUUCUUGCGCCCUUUGGAUUAUCAUAUGUGCUCUUUGUGAGUGUAAAGACUUGAUUCGUGUCUCUCAUUGAUUCAUAAUAUAAAAGAAUUUAGAUGUAUGAAUUUUCGUUAAUGUCACCUUAAUUGAAAUUUAAAGAUUCUCUUGCUUGAAAAGUUAACCUUUAUUUUCUUUGGUUAUAUGGAUUGGUAUCUAUGUUUGUUCAAUUUUAGAAGUCAUGAGUAUUUUCCUCGUUGCCUUAUCCUUUUACUUUCGCAAGCUUACGUUGUUUGUUUCUUGCAUUAAUUUAUUGAAUAUGGCCUUCUUUCUUUUACCUUUAUUCAUUCUUGUAUGAACAUAAAUCAUGAGGCAUGUAAGUGGGUGUCUUUGCUUUGCAUUUUAUUUGUUGACUCUCAUUUUUGUGCAAGUGUGCUUAUCAUUGUCAUUCAAAAUUGGUUCUUGAUAUUUUCUUUUGCUUUGAAAUAUGUCACUUUUAUGCCUUGAACGUAUAUUAAUUUCUUUAUCUUUUCUUUGCAUGCAAAAAAAAAAUGUCUCGAGUCCAAAUGGAUUCCUCUCCUUUUGCAUUUCGUAAUGGGCCAAUGAGGUCUACCCCUUCGAGUCAAGUUCGAAGUUUAAACCCGAGGUUCAGUACAUGGCAUGCGGGUGCUAGAAGAUAGACGAAGAAGGAAAAUGGGUCAAAAUCCAUUGACAAGGUCAUUAAGAGACUUGAAAAGUCUCAAUUUUUAUUAGUCUUCUUUUUAUUCAUUCAUUUAGUCAUUUAUUUAUUCAUUUAUUUCGGUCUCGAAGCCAAAGUUGUAUUUAAUAUAGGUGGAGCAAGACUCGAGCCAAAGGCUCGAAAAAUAGUUUAGGACAGGUGAAAUGGGUCGGAAUCUCAACUAGACUAGGAUAGGUCUAGUUGAUUUGGGCUCAAUGGCCUAAAUCCUUUACUUUCUCCUCACUUCCCCUUUUAUGUGUUUAUUUGUUUAUUAGUUUUGUUUAGACUUAGUUA